rnacentral:misc_RNA from 1 species
GAUGAAGAACGUAGCGAAACGCGAUAAGUAAUGUGAAUUGCAGAAUCCAGUGAAUCAUCGAAUCUUUGAACGCACAUUGCGCCCCUUGGUAUUCCGAGGGGCAUGCCUGUUCGAGCGUCAUUAUAACCCCUCAAGCUCAGCUUGGUGUUGGGGCCUGCUGCACUGGCAGCCCUUAAAAUCAGUGGCGGCGCCAUCUGGCUCUAAGCGUAGUAAUUCUUCUCGCUAUGGAGUCCUGGUGGAUGCUUGCCAUCAACCCCCAAUUUUUCUAUGGUUGACCUCGGAUCAGGUAGGGAUACCCGCUGAACUUAAGCAUAUCAAUAAGCGGAGGA